AGAGUUUGAUCCUGGCUCAGGACGAACGCUGGCGGCGCGCCUAACACAUGCAAGUCGAACGAGAGAGAAGGAGCUUGCUUCUUCGAUCGAGUGGCGAACGGGUGAGUAACGCGUGAGGAACCUGCCUCAAAGAGGGGGACAACAGUUGGAAACGACUGCUAAUACCGCAUAAGCCCACGGGUCGGCAUCGAUCUGAGGGAAAAGGAGUGAUCCGCUUUGAGAUGGCCUCGCGUCCGAUUAGCUAGUUGGUGAGGUAACGGCCCACCAAGGCGGCGAUCGGUAGCCGGACUGAGAGGUUGAACGGCCACAUUGGGACUGAGACACGGCCCAGACUCCUACGGGAGGCAGCAGUGGGGAAUAUUGCACAAUGGGGGAAACCCUGAUGCAGCGACGCCGCGUGGAGGAAGAAGGUCUUCGGAUUGUAAACUCCUGUUGUUGAGGAAGAUAAUGACGGUACUCAACAAGGAAGUGACGGCUAACUACGUGCCAGCAGCCGCGGUAAAACGUAGGUCACAAGCGUUGUCCGGAAUUACUGGGUGUAAAGGGAGCGCAGGCGGGAAGACAAGUUGGAAGUGAAAUCUAUGGGCUCAACCCAUAAACUGCUUUCAAAACUGUUUUUCUUGAGUAGUGCAGAGGUAGGCGGAAUUCCCGGUGUAGCGGUGGAAUGCGUAGAUAUCGGGAGGAACACCAGUGGCGAAGGCGACCUACUGGGCACCAACUGACGCUGAGGCUCGAAAGCAUGGGUAGCAAACAGGAUUAGAUACCCUGGUAGUCCAUGCCGUAAACGAUGAUUACUAGGUGUUGGAGGAUUGACCCCUUCAGUGCCGCAGUUAACACAAUAAGUAAUCCACCUGGGGAGUACGACCGCAAGGUUGAAACUCAAAGGAAUUGACGGGGGCCCGCACAAGCAGUGGAGUAUGUGGUUUAAUUCGA
rnacentral:rRNA from 1 species